rnacentral:rRNA from 1 species
GGCCGGGGGAAUUCGAUUCAGGCCUAACACAUGCAAGUCGAACGGUAACAGGCCGCAAGGUGCUGACGAGUGGCGAACGGGUGAGUAAUGCAUCGGAACGUGCCCAGUCGUGGGGGAUAACGCAGCGAAAGUUGCGCUAAUACCGCAUGCGAUCUAUGGAUGAAAGCGGGGGACCGUAAGGCCUCGCGCGAUUGGAGCGGCCGAUGUCAGAUUAGGUAGUUGGUGGGGUAAAGGCUCACCAAGCCGACGAUCUGUAGCUGGUCUGAGAGGACGACCAGCCACACUGGGACUGAGACACGGCCCAGACUCCUACGGGAGGCAGCAGUGGGGAAUUUUGGACAAUGGGCGCAAGCCUGAUCCAGCAAAGGGGCGUGCAGGAAGAAGGCCUUAGGGUGUAAACUUAUAGAGACGGAACGAAACGGUCCUGGUUAAUACCCGGGG